GAUGAACGCUGGCGGCGUGCCUAAUACAUGCAAGACGAGCGAACAGACGAGGAGCUUGCUCCUCUGACGUUAGCGGCGGACGGGUGAGUAACACGUGGAUAACCUACCUAUAAGACUGGGAUAACUUCGGGAAACCGGAGCUAAUACCGGAUAAUAUAUUGAACCGCAUGGUUCAAUAGUGAAAGACGGUUUUGCUGUCACUUAUAGAUGGAUCCGCGCCGCAUUAGCUAGUUGGUAAGGUAACGGCUUACCAAGGCAACGAUGCGUAGCCGACCUGGGAGGGUGAUCGGCCACACUGGAACUGAGACACGGUCCAGACUCCUACGGGAGGCAGCAGUAGGGAAUCUUCCGCAAAGGGCGAAAGCCUGACGGAGCAACGCCGCGUGAGUGAUGAAGGUCUUCGGAUCGUAAAACUCUGUUAUUAGGGAAGAACAAAUGUGUAAGUAACUAUGCACGUCUUGACGGUACCUAAUCAGAAAGCCACGGCUAACUACGUG
rnacentral:rRNA from 1 species